ensembl:snRNA U6 U6 spliceosomal RNA
GUGCUUACUUCAGCAGCACAUACACUAAAAUUGAAAGGUUACAGAGAUUAGCAUAGCCUCUGUGCAAGGAUGACACACAGAUGCAUGAAGCAUUGCAGAUUUUU